GAUGAACGCUAGCGGCAGGCUUAACACAUGCAAGUCGAGGGGUAUAGUUCUUCGGAGCUAGAGACCGGCGCACGGGUGCGUAACGCGUAUGCAAUCUACCUUUUGCAGAGGGAUAGCCCAGAGAAAUUUGGAUUAAUACCUCAUGGUAUGUGAGAAUGGCAUCAUUUUCACAUUAAAGUCACAACGGCAAAAGAUGAGCAUGCGUCCCAUUAGCUAGUUGGUAAGGUAACGGCUUACCAAGGCAACGAUGGGUAGGGGUCCUGAGAGGGAGAUCCCCCACACUGGUACUGAGACACGGACCAGACUCCUGCGGGAGGCAGCGGUGAGGAAUAUUGGACAAUGGGCGCAAGCCUGAUCCAGCCAUGCCGCGUGCAGGAUGACGGUCCUAUGGAUUGUAAACUGCUUUUGUACAGGAAGAAACACUGGUUCGUGAACCAGCUUGACGGUACUGUAAGAAUAAGGAUCGGCUAACUCCGUGCCAGCCGCCGCGGUAAAAC
rnacentral:rRNA from 1 species